rnacentral:rRNA from 1 species
AUUCCAGCUCCAAUAGCGUAUACUAAAGUUGUUGCAGUUAAAAAGCUCGUAGUUGGAUUUCUGACUCGACGCGUCUGGCCCGCCUUGCAUUUCGCGGGUGAGUGCCGGAGCGCGUCGGUCAUCCUUCUAGAGAACGGCGCUACCCUUCACUGGGUCGGCGUCGCAAUCUAGAUCUUUUACUUUGAAAAAAUUAGAGUGUUCAAGGCAGGCUCGCGCUGUGAAUACAUUAGCAUGGAAUAAUAAUCUAGGACUUUGUUCCUAUUUUGUUGGUUUCUAGGAAUUAAGUAAUGAUUGAUAGGGAUGGUUGGGGGUGCUAGUAUUCAGCGGCCAGAGGUGAAAUUCUUGGAUUCGCUGAAGACUAACUUAUGCGAAAGCAUUCACCAAGGAUGUCUUCAUUG